GAUGAACGCUGGCGGCGUGCCUAAUACAUGCAAGUCGAGCGAACGGACGAGAAGCUUGCUUCUCUGAUGUUAGCGGCGGACGGGUGAGUAACACGUGGAUAACCUACCUAUAAGACUGGGAUAACUUCGGGAAACCGGAGCUAAUACCGGAUAAUAUUUUGAACCGCAUGGUUCAAAAGUGAAAGACGGUCUUGCUGUCACUUAUAGAUGGAUCCGCGCUGCAUUAGCUAGUUGGUAAGGUAACGGCUUACCAAGGCAACGAUGCAUAGCCGACCUGAGAGGGUGAUCGGCCACACUGGAACUGAGACACGGUCCAGACUCCUACGGGAGGCAGCAGUAGGGAAUAUUCCGAAAUGGGCGAAAGCCUGACGGAGCAACGCCGCGUGAGUGAUGAAGGUCUUCGGAUCGUAAAAAUCUGUUAUUAGGGAAGAACAUAUGUGUAAGUAACUGUGCACAUCUUGACGGUACAUAAUCAGAAAGACACGGCUAACUACGUG
rnacentral:rRNA from 1 species